rnacentral:rRNA from 1 species
UACGUAGGGGGCGAGCGUUGUCCGAAGUUACUGGGCGUAAAGCGCGCGUAGGCGGUCUAUUAAGUCUGAGGUGAAAGGUUCAGCGCUCAACGCGAACAGUGCCUUGGAUACUGGUAGACUUGAGUGUGGCAGAGGAGUAUGGAAUUCCUGGUGUAGCGGUGAAAUGCGUAGAUAUCAGGGGGAAUACCGAUGGCGAAGGCAGUACUCUGGGCUAACACUGACGCUGAGGUGCGAAAGCGUGGGGAGCAAACGGG